UGGAGGUUCGGAGCCAGGGG
rnacentral:misc_RNA from 1 species